GACGAACGCUGGCGGCGGGCUUAACACAUGCAAGUCGAACGGAAGGGCCCUGCUUGUGUGUGGUGCUCGAGGGGCAAACGGGUGAGUAACACGUGAGUCACCUUCCCUUGACUUUGGGAUAACUUCAGGAAGCUGGGGCUAAUGCCGGAUAGGAGCUCCUGCUGCAUGGUGGGGGUUGGAAAGUUUCGGCGGUUGGGGCUGGACUCGCGGCUUAUCAGCUUGUUGGUGGGGUAGUGGCUUACCCAGGCUUUGACAGGUGGCCGGCCCGAGAGGGUGACCGGCCACAUUGGGCCUGAGAGACGGCCCAGACGCCUACGGUAGGCAGCAGUGGGGAACAUUGCACAAUGGGCGGAAGCCUGAUGCAGAAACGCCGCGUGCGGGAUGACGGCCUUCGGGUUGUAAACCGCUUUCGCCUGUGACGAAGCGUGAGUGACGGUAAUGGGUAAAGAAGCACCGGCUAACUACGUG
rnacentral:rRNA from 1 species